rnacentral:rRNA from 1 species
GAUGAACGCUGGCGGCGUGCUUAACACAUGCAAGUCGAACGAAGCACCUUAUUCUGAUUUCUUCGGAAUGAAAAAUUUGGUGACUGAGUGGCGGACGGGUGAGUAACGCGUGGGUAACCUGCCUCAUACAGGGGGAUAACAGUUAGAAAUGACUGCUAAUACCGCAUAAGACCACAGCACCGCAUGGUGCGGGGGUAAAAACUCCGGUGGUAUGAGAUGGACCCGCGUCUGAUUAGGUAGUUGGUGGGGUAACGGCCUACCAAGCCGACGAUCAGUAGCCGACCUGAGAGGGUGACCGGCCACAUUGGGACUGAGACACGGCCCAAACUCCUACGGGAGGCAGCAGUGGGGAAUAUUGCACAAUGGGGGAAACCCUGAUGCAGCGACGCCGCGUGAGUGAUGAAGUAUUUCGGUAUGUAAAGCUCUAUCAGCAGGGAAGAAAAUGACGGUACCUGACUAAGAAGCACCGGCUAAAUACGUGCCAGCAGCCGAAGUAAUAC